UUGAAGUGUACAGACGUUUGAGUUUUAGUUAUAGUUGGAGUUAUUUCGCCAUCGUGGUAUGUCUGGUUUUUCUUUGUUUUUAUGGAAGCAAUAGCAUCGCAGUUGUUGGCGCUCUUAAUUAUAUUGCUAAUAUCUAACAAAGUGCAUGUUUAACUUUUAUUGCAGUUGCACCAAAGAAGCUUUGAAAUAUAGUUUACAGCUUUACAUUUGAUAAAUAUCAAGCCUAAAGUCCAUAACUUUGGGCAUUUCAGUUUAUUCUAUUUGAAUGAAAUAUAAACACGAACUUUUAACAAGGAUUUACGCUGUUGUUGUAUUUCUAUCAACGCAUCGUUAGUUACAUAUGGAGCCCCCAGCUUGGUUUGAAUAGCCCCGCUUCGUGUGAACACCCACAGUGAGUUAUUUCCACAGAAAAAAAAAAAUUGGUCUCCACAGAAUUCAAUUUAUUCUUAGCCUAUUGACGAGUGAAAUCUACUCAUCAGAUUGGACCGGUUCGCUGGAUUUCGUUCCGCAAGGAAGGCGCGCACCUGUAGAGGCGGAUCCAAGUAACGUCAAAGCGGAUUCAAAAUCGCCAAGGACUUGUGAAUUCGGAGGGCGGAUCCAAUACUUUGAUCAACUAAUGGAAUUCCAGAAUUCGGAUUUGCGCACCAACAUCUGACGGACUUAGUGACAGAGAGAUUCCGAAUUAUUUUACGUACUACUUGUCUCUGCGUGUCACACUGGAAAUAUUGCAGUUUCGAUGUAAACAUUGUUUGACAGUGACACAACUUGUGUUUUCUUGGAUCGUUUGGACUUUUAUUUAUUUCAAAAACAAAACAAACAACAACAAUUCUUUGGAUCAUAUUACUGUGUUUAUUUGUGCUAUUGUUCAUGGCCCUGUGAUUUUUUUUGUGUGUGUGUUUUUUUGUUUGUUUUUUUAAAUUGUGUUUGUGAUCCAUUCGACAAUAGACACAGUCAAGGCUAAAGUCAGCAGAUCGUUGCACCAAAGAAGCUUUGAAAUAUAGUUUACAGCUUUACAUUUGAUAAAUAUCAAGCCUAAAGUCCAUAACUUUGGUAAGUUAUACUAUUUAGACUGUUUAAGCAAUAUAAAAGUCAACUAAAGCAAUAAUAUAAAUAUUUUGUUUUUAAUCUUAUUUUUCUCACUUAUUAAAUAUAAAUAAGUUCGGUGGAUCACUUUUAUAAAUUGUGAUUAAAGUGCUUGAAUAUCAUUUGAUAUAACUUUAUGCUAAGUUUCAAAUGAUACAAUAUAUGUAUAUAUAACAUGUAUAAAAUGUAUAUAUGUAUUUGACGUGAUGUACAUUUUCAUGUCAUUUUGAUAUGCGGCUUUCUGUUUGUUACAGGGCAUUUCAGUUUAUUCUAUUUGAAUGAAAUAUAAACACGAACUUUUAACAAG